AGUGUAUGUGGACUGUCCUGCUGGCUCUCUGUCCUUCUACACAGUCUCCUCUGACUCACUGAUCCACCUCUACACCUUCAACACCACAUUCACUCAACCUCUUUAUCCUGGGUUUGGGUUCUGGUCUCCUGGUGCUUCAGUGUCUCUGUGUUCUGUGUAGGACAGAGAGUCUCCUCCUGUUUCUCACUGCUGAUCAGUUGAGUCCGUACAGGAUCACACUUACAGAAAUAUUUCAGGUUAUUGUUAUGAACUAAUGAAUGAACUUUGUAUAAAAUAAUUCGGAAUGAUUGAACAGAUUCCUCGUGAACAUUGUAAACUUCUUUCAGUUCCAGUCCUUUAAAGAUGGAAGCUGUGAUCAUGAAAUUGUAUAAAUGCCGUUGACUUGUGUCAUGUUUUGUUGCUCUUCUUGACGUAAUU